GACGAACGCUGGCGGCGUGCUUAACACAUGCAAGUCGAACGGAAAGGCCUUUUCGGUGGUACUUGAUUGGCGAACGAGCGAGUAACACGCGGGUGAUCUGCCUUGCACUCUGGGAUAAGCCUGUGAAACUGGGUCUAAUACCGGAUAGGACCGCACUCCAGUUUGUUUGGUGGAAAGUGUUUUGUGGGUAGGAUGAGCCCGCAGCCUCUCAGCAUGUUGGUGGGGUAAUGGGCUACCAAGGCGGCGACGGGUAGCCGGACUGAGAGGUUGGUCGGCCACAUUGGGACUGAGGUUACGGCCAGAAUCCUACGGGAGGCAGCAGUGGGGGAUUUUGCAAAAUGGGGGGGAGCCUGAUGCCGCGAAGCCGGGUGGGGGAUGACGGCCUUCGGGUUGUAAACUCCUUUCGCCAGGGAAGAAGCGGUUUGUGACGGUACCUGGAGAAGAAGCACCGGCUAACUACGUG
rnacentral:rRNA from 1 species